UUUGUUGCCUGUAAGAAAAAAAUUGCAUAAUUUGAAAUCACACAGAAGGAACUCAGGCGAUCACCGAAACAUAAUACAAGCAUACACUCUCUGAUCCUCGAAUCAAGACUGCCGGCAGGCGCUCCUCUGUGCUCAUGUUAACACUCUACCUCCCCCCACCCCCACCCUGCACCUGCUGUUCUCUGGCUGUGCCACCCUGCUUCACCACUCCCGUGAAGGACUGAGUGGCACUCCUUAGGAUAUUACUCACAUACACACCGUGUCCCGGAAUUAAGAAUAACGAAGACGAUACAAUCCCUGCCCGCCCCCGCCGCUGCCCCCCAGACAAGUAGUCUCGCUGUCGGAAUCAGUGAUGAGCACAGAAAGCGAACCAAUUCACCCAUGGCUGGAGUUUUGCUAGAGGACUGCCACAGGACAGAGAGGAGUCCGUCAACGGGGAGGGGACAGAAAGAUUUACGGCUGGAUGCAAGGGACAACAGCCAGUGCCAAACACUUCAGUAAAUGGAGAGGAAUGGUCAGGAGAUGACAGCUACGCCAUUUCCCAAUCUGCAGAGACUGUGAGACGUACUCAACUGGCAA